UACGAAGGGAGCUAGCGUUGUUCGGAAUCACUGGGCGUAAAGCGCACGUAGGCGGACGUGUCAGUCAGGGGUGAAAUCCCGGAGCUCAACUUCGGAACUGCCUUUGAUACAGCACGUCUUGAGUCCGGAAGAGGUGGGUGGAAUUCCUAGUGUAGAGGUGAAAUUCGUAGAUAUUAGGAAGAACACCGGUGGCGAAGGCGGCCACUGGUCCGGUACUGACGCUGAGGUGCGAAAGCGUGGGGAGCAAA
rnacentral:rRNA from 1 species